rnacentral:rRNA from 1 species
CAGUCGCCGCGGGAAUACGUAGGGUGCGAGCGUUAAUCGGAAUUACUGGGCGUAAAGCGUGCGCAGGCGGUUGUGUAAGACAGGUGUGAAAUCCCCGGGCUCAACCUGGGAAUGGCGCUUGUGACUGCUAAGCUAGAGUGCGGCAGAGGGGGAUGGAAUUCCGCGUGUAGCAGUGAAAUGCGUAGAUAUGCGGAGGAACACCGAUGGCGAAGGCAAUCCCCUGGGCCUGCACUGACGCUCAUGCACGAAAGCGUGGGGAGCAAACAGGAUUAGAUACCCCUGUAGUCCCUGUCUCUUAUAC